ACAUCGGUAGCACAGUGGUUAGGGCAGUCUGCCGGCAACAGCAAGACGCGGAUUCAAUUCCCGUCCGAUGUC
rfam:Nippostrongylus brasiliensis genome assembly, scaffold: NBR_scaffold0000579